ACAGCCGACUGGCCAUCAGUCGUUCGGUGUUGAUUACCGUGUGCGGUACGUUGUCUACUCCAACCUACCAACCAGUUGGCGAACGGUGCUGAUUUUCGAGUGCUCGUGAUUUGUGACUUGAGGCAAAUUAACGUAUUAAAAAUAAAUAAAAAGUUUGAAAAGCUGUAAUUGCAAUUGGAAAUUGGAAAGCACUGUUGCUGCCACAAGUCGUCGUUGUGGUAUUGAUAACAGUGCAAUAGAAAUCGAAGAAAUCCAUAAAUCUCCUACCAUUAACGCAUUCGACGUCAGCUCAGACGUCAGUCUGCUUUUUGUUGCUUGCGUUUUCGUCGCGAUAAAUCAAUCAACAGGUGGGUUGCUAUUGCAAAAUACAGACGUACCACAUACAUAUAUACGAUUGCACGUAUGUUUAUAAGGUUAUCUGCGCGCUGUACGUGCUAUUGUUGUAGAUGUGCCGUUGUUGUUGUGGCAUAUUGCGUGCACUUUACGUGGGAAAAGCAAACUUUGGCGAAACUUCCGGCUAAGGCAAUCCAUGGCGUUUGCUUUGUUAGCUGGCUUAUCGCUUUUAUUACGACCACUAACGUGCGAUACGUGCUGAUUUAUUAGGCGAACGCUUUUCAGCGCCUUUGUUUCUGGUUUGCGAAUCGCUCGCUUGCACUUUGGCAUUGCCUUUGUUGGCCAGCCAAACGUAAUUGCAACGUCUCGGCUACCAUUUUUGGCUGCGAAACUAAAGCAGCCAGCCAACCCGAAAUACACGAAGCUAAGUGAAACUGAAACGUUGGAGAAACACACGCGACAGCGAAACCUAAAAGGCAACAAACAAUAAACCACGAAUUUUGUGCGCUGACUGCUGUAAGCCAGUCGUGUUUUAGUUGUGUAUUGGUUGCAGCUGUUCUUUGACAUGUUGCGUUUUCAAAUAAAUUCGUUUCAUUGCUAAGGAAUUAAUUGUUCCAGACGUCAACAAGAACUUUCAAGAAGUCAAAGUCUUCAAAAAGAAAUAUAGCAGUUAAUUAUAGUGGCGAGCUUUUAUUUAUAACUCACUUCGCAUUACCUUCACACACAUACACACAUAGAGAGAAACACCUGAAGAGCAACGAUAUGGAAUCUUACUUAACAGAAAUCAAACAAUUGCGGAUACCGCGCCCGAAAUUUGAACCCAACGGCAGCCCGCCGAACAACUGGCAUCGCCUGGUGCGCCCAUACACGCCGCCGCGCGACUAUCACUUGCCAACCAAUGAGAUAAUCAACACCACAAGCGCAUUGCAUCCGAAUCGAAGUUACCAGGGUGGCGCGGAGGAGUUCCGACCGACGUUGCAUGAGAAAAUGUAAGCGGCUUUGCACAGCGCACCUAACCAGCCGGUAAAACUGCGACCGCUACAGUAACAAACUUAGUACCACAAUCUUGAUGCUUUUCAUUGGUGUAAUUAAUGAAAUCACUUGGAGAAUGGCAAGGGUGUCAAGUGACGGUGUAAAAAAGAAAUAUCGAAGUAAUCGUAGUCGCUAAACGUAGUGAGGAGCAGUGCGGCGAAUGUGCGGUCGUGCAGUGAGCGUUUCAAAGUGUUGAGGAUAAUGAGGAGAAUUAAUUUUACGCACGCUAUUAUUAAACUAUAUACAAUACAUAUAUGCGAAAUACAUACAUCCAUGCAUGCAUAUAUUACAAACGAUCUAGGACCAUAUGUCCUUAACAUACUUUAAGAAGUUAUAUGAAUUUAAGGGUUGCACCACCAGCUGGUGAGCAUAAUAUUUUUGAUCUGUAUAUUUACGGUAAUUUGUGAAUAUUGACGCAAUAAAAUUGUUGAUUUUAUUUGAAAAGAA